GCCGGGCGCAGUGGCGCACGCCUGCAAUCCCAGCGGCUCUGGAGGCUGAGACAGGCGGAUCGUGAGUUCAGAGCCAGGCUUAGCAACUUAGUAAGGCACUUAGCAACUCAGCAAGACUCUGUCUCUA
rnacentral:sRNA from 1 species